rnacentral:rRNA from 1 species
CCUACGGGGGGCAGCAGUGGGGAAUAUUGCGCAAUGGGGGAAACCCUGACGCAGCAACGCCGCGUGAGUGAAGAAGUAUCUCGGUAUGUAAAGCUCUAUCAGCGGGGAAGAAGGAAGACGGUACCCGACUAAGAAGCCCCGGCUAACUACGUCCCAGCAGCCGCGGUAAGACGUAGGGGGCGAGCGUUAUCCGGAUUUACUGGGUGUAAAGGGAUCGUAGACGGCGGCGAAAGUCUGAAGGUAAAGCCCGUGGCUCAACCGCGGAACCGCUUUGGAAACUGCGAGGCUGGAGUGCUGGAGAGGGAAGCGGAAUUCCUGGUGUAGCGGUGAAAUGCGUAGAUAUCAGGAGGAACACCGGUGGCGAAGGCGGCUUACUGGACAGUGACUGACGUUGAGGCUCGAAAGCGUGGGGAGCGAACAGGAUUAGAUACCAGGGUAGUC